GGGGGCGUAUGGAUUCGACGGGGGUAACGAAGCUCAGGUGGCAUGCCGUGGUCCCGUCACCACGUAAAAAGGCGGGAAAAAACACAAACGCCAACAGCGAACUCGCACUCGCUGCUUAAUUGAUAGCAGCGCGCCACUGAGGAGACGCCUGCUAUCCUCAGCUGGCGUCGGUUAGCAGGCUGGCCUUACUCCCCGUGUCCCCGGGGAUAAGGCGAGAGUUAAGGGGACUAGGAUAAUGAGAGGCCUGUCUGUCGGCAUCUCAUUAUCUGAAACCAAAUAGACAGACUAAGCAUGUAGAGGCCUGAGCGUAGUACUUCCGGACGUGGGUUCGAUUCCCACCGCCUCCACCA
rnacentral:tmRNA from 1 species